GUUUGCGUAAAUAGUAAGGCAGUUAAUAAUUAAUAGGAAUAUAAAUCUGAACAUAUUGAGUAGCAGUAUGAACGUAAAAAGCCGAUUGAAGCUGUUCUUAGCUUUUUUGCUAUCUCUCAUGAUAAACGAGUAAUCUAAAUUAGCUGUGCCUUACCGAAAACGAGUAUCUUGUCAGCUGUAGAAGAGUAUAGAUAAAUAAAAGUAGACAGCUGGACUCUCCAUUAGCCAAAUUCGAGUAGACUUGAGCAUUGCUUAACUUUUCUUCCUUUCUGCUAUUUCUUUUUACUAUACUGUUCCUGUUGACUUCAGACUUGCUAUUUUGUUUUAAGGCGUAUCAUGGAAAUGUACAAUGCCAGGCAUAUUUGAAUGCUUUUAUUAUCGAUCCUUCAUUCGCUAAUAGACGAAAUGUUAUUUCAACCGACACCUAUUAAUUAUCGAAGUAAUCUUAUUUACUAUACGUUCGCUGAGUCGUUAAAAUGUCAAGCAAGUGCCAUGUUGUUGUACAUUGACGGCUGCAGCGAUCCUCCCUUUUAUUCUAUUUCAUAAAAACCACUUAUAUUAAGCGUUAAGAACUAUUUCCAUCCAGCAUUAAUUACUAUCGUUAGAUGACUUUUAAAGGCUUCACCGUGCACACCCAUUUCUUUUGAAAUGUACUCAAGUAUCACACUUCGAGGAAAAAUUACUUUUUAAAACCUCCUUUUGCGUUUCUUAUUACAUUUUAGAAAUCUUACCACUUCAAACUUGGUUCGUGUAAUUGACACGUGGCUAAAAGCUGUUGUAGAUACGCGGAAUCUCCACGCAAAUUUCUAUUUGAUAUAUUUCGCAUGUUGUCGUUUAACCAUAUCUAGAAUGACAACAAGGAUGCACUCUUGAGAAGUGCGUUCAAGCUCCUCCUGCUUACUAAAGAAGUUCAUUAUAAGGGGGAGCGACGUACCGGAGAAAGCAAAUACUGCAAAACAAUUUGUCAGUGUGCAUACAAAUAUAUGUCACAUCUCUCACUUUUCUCCUUAUUUAAAUUGUAUUAGAUCUCGAUGGAUUAUGUUAUUGUGCUAGUAGUCUGAUUUUCGUGAUAAUCACUUAGACACAUAUUUGUAUAAAAAUUUACUGAAUACCACUAGCAAGCCGCUUACCAAAUUAAUCACCAUAAGACUCAACAAUGAGAAAUUUGACUAUAAGGAAUAUAUAAGCGUUUGG
rnacentral:lncRNA from 1 species